UACUUGUUAGAGACACACAAUUAACGAUAUUCCAAACCACUGAAACACUAAGAAAUACUACAAUGCUUUCUCUUAGUAACAAUACUCCUUCAUCAAUUGAUAACAAUAAUGUACAACCCUGCACUCUCAAAAGACCACUCAAAAUACAAUAAUUUCCAUCCAACACCAGAAAUAACAGACUUCACUCCAAUCAAUCUGAAUUCACAUGAUUUCUGUAAACACAAACUUCCUCUGUCAAAACACACACAACUCUCAAUAAACAACAAUCAUAAUCUUUCAAUAACUCCUCAUAUAAUUCAAUCACUCAGUUCUCCAAUUACAUAAUCAAUAACUCAUAAAUCAAUCUCUGACUUAUUCCACAGACUCACUUCUCAGUAUUCAGAAAUUAUCCAUUACUUUUCAACAACAAAGAAAACAAAGAAACAAAGAGGUAGC
rnacentral:lncRNA from 1 species